UACGGAGUGGCAGACGGGUGAGUAACACGUGGGAACGUGCCUUUUGGUUCGGAACAACCCAGGGAAACUUGGGCUAAUACCGGAUAAGCCCUUCGGGGGAAAGAUUUAUCGCCAGAAGAUCGGCCCGCGUCUGAUUAGCUAGUUGGUGGGGUAAUGGCCCACCAAGGCUACGAUCAGUAGCUGGUCUGAGAGGAUGAUCAGCCACACUGGGACUGAGACACGGCCCAGACUCCUACGGGAGGCAGCAGUUAGGAAUCUUGGACAAUGGGCGCAAGCCUGAUCCAGCCAUGCCGCGUGAGUGAUGAAGGCCUUAGGGUUGUAAAGCUCUUUCAGCGGGGAAGAUAAUGACGGUACCCGCAGAAGAAGCCCCGGCUAACUUCGUGCCAGCAGCCGCGGUAAUACGAAGGGGGCUAGCGUUGCUCGGAAUCACUGGGCGUAAAGCGCACGUAGGCGACUUUCUAAGUCAGGGGUGAAAUCCUGGAGCUCAACUCCAGAACUGCCUUUGAUACUGGAGAGCUCGAGUCCGGGAGAGGUGAGUGGAACUCCGAGUGUAGAGGUGAAAUUCGUAGAUAUUCGGAAGAACACCAGUGGCGAAGGCGGCUCACUGGCCCGGUACUGACGCUGAUGUGCGAAAGCGUGGGGAGCAAACAGGAUUAGAUACCCUGGUAGUCCACGCCGUAAACGAUGGAUGCUAGCCGUUGGCGGGUUUACCCGUCAGUGGCGCAGCUAACGCAUUAAGCAUCCCGCCUGGGGAGUACGGUCGCAAGAUUAAAACUC
rnacentral:rRNA from 1 species